AUGUACCACGCGUCCACCAGGAUUCCUGCGCGCUUCAUCCACGCAUGCCUGACGACUGCCCGCCACGGUUCGGUUGCC
rnacentral:sRNA from 1 species